rnacentral:rRNA from 1 species
AUGGGCGCAAGCCUGAUGCAGCCAUGCCGCGUGUAUGAAGAAGGCCUUCGGGUUGUAAAGUACUUUCAGCAGUGAGGAAGGCGGAGUCGUUAAUAGCGGCCUCGUUUGACGUUAGCUGCAGAAGAAGCACCGGCUAACUCCGUGCCAGCAGCCGCGGUAAUACGGAGGGUGCGAGCGUUAAUCGGAAUUACUGGGCGUAAAGCGCAUGCAGGUGGUUUGUUAAGUCAGAUGUGAAAGCCCGGGGCUCAACCUCGGAAUUGCAUUUGAAACUGGCAGACUAGAGUACUGUAGAGGGGGGUAGAAUUUCAGGUGUAGCGGUGAAAUGCGUAGAGAUCUGAAGGAAUACCGGUGGCGAAGGCGGCCCCCUGGACAGAUACUGACACUCAGAUGCGAAAGCGUGGGGAGCAAACAGGAUUAGAUACCCUGGUAGUCCACGCCGUAAACGAUGUCUACUUGGAGGUUGUGGCCUUGAGCCGUGGCUUUCGGAGCUAACGCGUUAAGUAGACCGCCUGGG